GAGGGUACAGCUCAGUGGUAGAGUGCGUGCUUAGUAUACAGGAGGUUCUGGGUUCAACCCCCAGUACCACCA
rnacentral:tRNA from 1 species